ACUGUGUGCCCUUUAUUCCCUCCGUCCCAACUUUAACUGUCCGUCUUAUAUGAAAUUUUUUUAUAAUUAGUAUUUUCAUUGUUGUUAGAUGAUAAAACAUGAUUAAUAUUUUAUGCGUGACUUGUCUUUUUAAUUUUUUUCAAAAUUUUUUCAAAUGAGACGAACGGUCAAAUGUUGGACACGGAAACCAGGGUUUGUCUUUUU
rfam:Oryza barthii chromosome 8, whole genome shotgun sequence.